rnacentral:rRNA from 1 species
CGCUAGCUACAGGCUUAACACAUGCAAGUCGAGGGGUAGCAGGGUAGCAAUACCGCUGACGACCGGCGCACGGGUGAGUAACACGUAUCCAACCUUCCCAUUACUCGGGGAUAGCCUUUCGAAAGAAAGAUUAAUACCCGAUAGUACUUUUUCGAGGCAUCUCGUAAAAAGUUAAAGAUUUAUUGGUAAUGGAUGGGGAUGCGUUCCAUUAGAUUGUUGGUGAGGUAACGGCUCACCAAGUCUUCGAUGGAUAGGGGUUCUGAGAGGAAGGUCCCCCACAUUGGUACUGAGGCACGGACCAAACUCCUACGGGAGGCAGCAGUGAGGAAUAUUGGUCAAUGGGCGAGAGCCUGAACCAGCCAAGUAGCGUGAAGGAUGACGG